AUGGAGAGGAGCCUGGGAGCUGUGCUGGGGCUGCUGUGGGUGCAGGCUUGCUGUGUGAGAGGGAUGCAGGUGGAGCAAAAUCCUCCAGCCCUCAGUCUCCACGAGGGGGACAGCUCUGCUCUGAGAUGCAAUUUUUCUACCACCAUGGUGAGGGUGCAGUGGUUCCGACAGAAUCCCAGGGGCAGCCUCACCAAUCUUCUUUUCCUGACUCCAGGAACAAAGGAGAAUGGGAGGUUAAAGUCAACAUUCGAUUCCAAGGAGCGCUACAGCACCCUGCACAUCAGGAAUGCCCAGCUGGAGGACUCAGGCACCUACCUCUGUGCUGCUGAUGCACAGUGCUCCCAGCAAGCCUGCAGCCUGGCCCCAAACUGCAGCUACAGCCCUGCCCCAGGGAGACUCUGCAGGAGGCUUUGCACAGCUGAAGAAGUUCUCAUGAAGAGUACUGGGACAACUGACAAAGAUGACAAGGUUCACAGUACUGUCAGGUAG